AUUGAACGCUGGCAGCAGGCCUAACACAUGCAAGUCGAGCGAGCGGCGGACGGGUGAGUAAUGUCUGGGAAACUGCCUGAUGGAUGGGGAUAAAUACUGGAAACGGUAGCUAAUACCGCAUACAAUCAGAUGUGCCCCGAUGGGAUUAGCUUGUAGGUGGGGUAACGGCUCACAUAGGCGAAGCGCCCUAGCUGGUCUGAGAGGAUGACCAGCCACACUGGAACUGUGACACGGUCCAGACUCCUACGGUAGGCAGCAGUGGGGAAUAUUGCACAAUGGGGGGAAGCCUGCUGCAGCCAUGCCGCGUGUAUGAAGAAGGCCUUCGGGUUGUAAAGUACUUUCAGCGGGGAGGCGUUACCCGCAGAAGAAGCACCGGCUAACUCCGUGCCAGCAGCCGCGGUAAUAC
rnacentral:rRNA from 1 species